rnacentral:rRNA from 1 species
AUUGAACGCUGGCGGCAUGCUUUACACAUGCAAGUCGAACGGUAACAGGCCGCAAGGUGCUGACGAGUGGCGAACGGGUGAGUAAUGCAUCGGAACGUGCCCAGUCGUGGGGGAUAACUACUCGAAAGAGUAGCUAAUACCGCAUACGAUCUAUGGAUGAAAGCGGGGGACCGUAAGGCCUCGCGCGAUUGGAGCGGCUGAUGUCAGAUUAGGUAGUUGGUGGGGUAAAGGCUCACCAAGCCAACGAUCUGUAGCUGGUCUGAGAGGACGACCAGCCACACUGGGACUGAGACACGGCCCAGACUCCUACGGGAGGCAGCAGUGGGGAAUUUUGGACAAUGGGCGCAAGCCUGAUCCAGCAAUGCCGCGUGCAGGAAGAAGGCCUUCGGGUUGUAAACUGCUUUUGUACGGAACGAAACGGCUCUGGUUAAUACCCGGGGCUAAUGACGGUACCGUAAGAAUAAGCACCGGCUAACUACGUG